ACUCGUUGGAGUUUAUUUUGUAUUCCAUAAAGGAGAAGAAGCUCACGCGCUGCUUGCUAGCACAGGUCUUCUCGAUGCCCUUCUUGUUGAGGAUUUUGUAACGUCGUGGGGGGGUUUCCUCUCCCUCGUCUCUUGUACAUUGCAGUCACAUGGUUUGGAUGUUUUCUUGGACCACCUUGUGCUCUCUACACUUAAGGGGCUAAUUGUGGGGCUAAAGGGAUGCUUCGAAGAAAAAUCCCUUUCACACAGAUGGCUUUUGCCACAGUGCUUGGAAUGGCUGGUGGUUUCUAUAUCUACAGACCUUACUUUGACGCAGUGCCAAAAACCACAACGCCACAGAACCAGGAUGUGGCACUACAAUCGAACAGAACUGGUGGAAAGAAUUCAUCAAGCUAAAAUAUUACAAUGGAAUAAACCAACAAAGUUCUGGAAGUAAAUAAACAUAUUUAUCACAA